rnacentral:rRNA from 1 species
AUUGUACCGCGAAACUGCGAAUGGCUCAUUAAAUCAGUUAUCGUCUAUUUGAUAGUACCUUACUACUUGGAUAACCGUGGUAAUUCUAGAGCUAAUACAUGCUGAAAACCCCGACUUCGGAAGGGAUGUAUUUAUUAGAUUAAAAACCAAUGCCCUCCGGGGCUCCCUGGUGAUUCAUGAUAACUUCUCGAAUCGCACGGCCUUGCGCCGGCGAUGGUUCAUUCAAAUUUCUGCCCUAUCAACUUUCGACGGCUGGGUCUUGGCCAGCCAUGGUGACAACGGGUAACGGAGGGUUAGGGCUCGACCCCGGAGAAGGAGCCUGAGAAACGGCUACUACAUCUAAGGAAGGCAGCAGGCGCGCAAAUUACCCAAUCCCGACGCGGGGAGGUAGUGACAAUAAAUACUGAUACAGGGCUCUUUAGGGUCGUGUAAUUGGAAUGAGUACAGUUUAAUUCCCUUAACGAGGAACAAUUGGAGGGCAAGUCUGGUGCCAGCAGCCGCGGUAAUUCCAGCUCCAAUAGCGUAUAUUAAAGUUGUUGCAGUUAAAAAGCUCGUAGUUGAACCUUGGGCCUGGCUGGCCGGUCCGCCUCACCGCGUGCACUGGUCCGGCCGGGCCUUUCCCUCUGGGGAGCCGCAUGCCCUUCACUGGGCGUGCCGGGGAACCAGGACGUUUACUUUGAAAAAAUUAGAGUGUUCAAAGCAGGCUUAUGCUCGGAUACAUUAGCAUGGAAUAAUGGAAUAGGACGUGCGGUUCUAUUUUGUUGGUUUCUAGGACCGCCGUAAUGAUUAAUAGGGACAGUCGGGGGCAUCAGUAUUCAAUUGUCAGAGGUGAAAUUCUUGGAUUUAUUGAAGACUAACUACUGCGAAAGCAUUUGCCAAGGAUGUUUUCAUUAAUCAGGAACGAAAGUUAGGGGAUCGAAGACGAUCAGAUACCGUCGUAGUCUUAACCAUAAACUAUGCCGACUAGGGAUCGGACGCUGUUGUCUUUUGACGCGUUCGGCACCUUACACGAAAGUACAAGUUUCUGGGUUCUGGGGGGAGNAUGGUCGCAAGGCUGAAACUUAAAGGAAUUGACGGAAGGGCACCACCAGGGGUGGAACCUGCAGCUUAAUUUGACUCAACACGGGGAAACUCACCAGACACGAUGAGGAUUGACAGAUUGAGAGCUCUUUCUUGAUUUCGUGGGUGGUGGUGCAUGGCCGUUCUUAGUUGGUGGAGUGAUUUGUCUGCCUAAUCGCGAUAACGAACGAGACCUUAACCUGCUAAAUAGCCCGCGCUGCUUGGGCAGCGCGCCGGCUUCUUAGAGGGACUAUCGGCUCAAGCCGAUGGAAGUUUGAGGCAAUAACAGGUCUGUGAUGCCCUUAGAUGUCCUGGGCCGCACGCGCGUGGCACUGACGGAGCCAGCGAGUUCUUCCUUGGCCGAAAGGCCUGGGUAAUCUUGGGAAACUCCGUCGUGCUGGGGAUAGAGCAUUGCAAUUAUUGCUCUUCAACGAGGAAUCCCUAGUAAGCGCAAGUCAUCAACUUGCGUUGAUUACGUCCCUGCCCUUUGUACACACCGCCCGUCGCUACUACCGAUUGAAUGACUCAGUGAGGCUUCCGGACUGGCCCAGCAGGGCGGGCAACCGCCCCGCCGGGCCGGAAAGUUAUCCAAACUCGGUCAUUUAGAGGAAGUAAAAGUCGUAACAAGGUCUCCGUAGGUGAACCUGCGGA